rnacentral:rRNA from 1 species
UACGGAGGGUGCAAGCGUUAUCCGGAUUCACUGGGGUUAAAGGGUGCGUAGGCGGAUUAGUAAGUCAGUGGUGAAAUCUCCGGGCUUAACCCGGAAACUGCCAUUGAUACUAUUAGUCUUGAAUACCGUGGAGGUCAGCGGAAUAUGUCAUGUAGCGGUGAAAUGCUUAGAUAUGACAUAGAACACCAAUUGCGAAGGCAGCUGGCUACACGAAUAUUGACACUCAGGCACGAAAGCGUGGGGAUCAAACAGG